rnacentral:rRNA from 1 species
CCUACGGGAGGCAGCAGUGGGGGAUAUUGCACAAUGGGGGAAACCCUGAUGCAGCGACGCCGCGUGGGUGAAGAAGCGCCUCGGCGCGUAAAGCCCUGUCAGCCGGGAAGAAAAUGACGGUACCUGAAGAAGAAGCCCCGGCUAACUACGUGCAAGCAGCCGCGGUAAUACGGAGGGGGCAAGCGCUAUCCGGAUUUACUGGGUGUAAAGGGGGCGCAGACGGGGAUGCAAGCCAGGAGUGAAAGCCCGGGGCCCAACCCCGGGACUGCUCUUGGAACUGCGUUGCUAGAGUGCAGGAGGGGCAGGCGGAAUUCCUGGUGUAGCGGUGAAAUGCGUAGAUAUCAGGAGGAACACCGGUGGCGAAGGCGGCCUGCUGGACUGCAACUGACGUUGAGGCCCGAAAGCGUGGGGAGCAAACAGGAUUAGAUACCCCAGUAGUC